rnacentral:rRNA from 1 species
CACGGGGGUUGCGAGCGUUGUCUGGAAUUACUAGGCGUAAAGGGCAGGCAGGCGGAUCCAUAAGUCUGAUGUGAAAGCCCACGGCUCAACCGUGGAAGGUCAUUGGAAACUGGGGAACUUGAGUGCAGAAGAGGAGAAUGGAAUUCCUAGUGUAGCGGUGAAAUGCGUAGAGAUUAGGAAGAACACCAGUGGCGAAGGCGAUUCUCUGGACUGUAACUGACGCUGAGGCUCGAAAGCGUGGGGAGCAAACAGGAUUAGAUA